CUGAUGUGGCACGUUCUUAGGGCUUCUCAGGAUUCAUUUUGGCGGGAAAAUGAGCUGAGUUUUAUAUCAUCCGCGGAUACCCAUUUUGAUGUGAUCCGAACCGUUUUAUGACCCGGGUAUAUAAGUCACAUAAAAAAACCUAAUUUCCUAUAGCCCCAUUCUUUUCCUUCACCACUUCACAACCAAACCCUAGCCUCCGUCUUCCUUGAAGCUUCUACAUCUAAUUUUCUCUAAAAAGAUAGGUGUCGUUUGUGCUUUGAAUCGACUGAUAAAGGAUUCCAAAAUUAAACCGAUUCACUUACAAAUGGUGGUGGCCUGAAGAGGAACGAUGACAACGACAUUGGUUGAUUUAGGUUUUCCCAGUGGUGGUCUUAUGAUGGUUGUGGUUUAACGCAACAACGAAAGGGCGGUGGCUAGGGUUUCACCAACACAUAAAUCGGGCACCCAAAACGAAAGCCCGAGGGGGUGAUGCGAUACCAGUCACUACUGUGCGAAUAAUCCGAAAAAAACUCCUGAAAUCCAUAUAUACGAAGGCUAGGAAACCUAAAAUGGAAGCACAAAGAAUCUCAAAUAAAGACCCAAGGGGUGAUGCGAUACCAUUCACUGUGCGAAUAAUCCGAAAGUGGAAUCUGUUGAUACAUACGAAGGCAAGGCGCUGCCUACUUAAAUGAUAGAUAAACAUGCAAGUAUACCAAAUAAUUUUAAUCUUCAAUUCUACUUGAUAAAUUUGAAUACACAUGGAGCGCAUUUCAAGGUGACAUCCAUUACCUUGACAAAGAUUACAUUGAACAGGACAAAACAAAUGAAAGAAAUUUGGGCCACGUGUCACUAGAUGAGGGCCUCUUAUGUUCAGUUUUGGCGGGAAACUGGUGGGUUGUUUUCUUCAACAGUGAAGCCCCGAUUGAAGCUAUUUGACCCGACAACUUUUUUCGGAUCCUAUUUAAAAAAACACGCUCCUUCACUUUUUAGUACUUAGACCCACAAUCUUCUCCUCCAUGCUUCCUUCUGAAGCCUCUAAAAUCCAAUCAAUUCAACCAUCAGCCAUUGUUAGAUGAAGGAUGUUUAGACCGUUUGGGGAUCAAUUUUGUCAUUCGGUGUUCGUAUAAGCUUUUGAUGCUCAAUUCUUUCCAGCGAUUUUGGUCCGUUAUAUUAAGGUAUGAUUGCUUUGAUCGUUAAUUACAUGUUAUUAUGAAUUUUGGGCAAUAUACAAAUCAACGGUAAAAUAAUUUUGUUUAAAUAUCGUUAAUUUAUUUCAUAAAGUCCUAAAAGAUAUCGAAUGUAUAAAGAAUU